AGAUGGUAGUGAGUUGUUUGUAGAGCAGCUAUUGAACGUGAAAUGGUUGGAGCUUCGACGAAGAAGAAAGAGCAGCCAUGGGAGAUAAUCGUUUGGAUGACAGAUUGUGAGGGACGAUGGAGGGGUCGUUUGGACACCGGUCGACGGGAAAAGGGCUGCUCGUGGUUGUUCAUGGCGAGGGAGAUGGUGGAGAUGAGGAAGAAGACGGGAAGGGCAGCCAUGGAGGGGUUUGGUGUUUGGUGGUUAGGGUUUGG
rnacentral:lncRNA from 1 species